rnacentral:lncRNA from 1 species
AUAGGUCCAUUAUGUAGUUUAAUUGACUAAGCAAUUUUUUUUUUUUUGGGUGGAGGUAGUGUGGGGGUGGGGAGUGAAGGGUGGGGGGGAUGAUUGGUAAUGACUAAGCAAAAAUAUGGUUAUAGUAAGACGAAUGUGGCCCAAAUUAUAUGAAUAUCAGCAACCCAAGGAUGAGGUAGAUCCUACCACACACACUGGCUGGACACCCUCCAUUGACCUGCUUAAUUAGGGGGAAGUCCUUAUGACCAGUGCAAUUCGUGUAUCUUAUUGUAUUCUAGAAACCGAUCAAAGAACAGAUAUCUAGCAUCA